rnacentral:lncRNA from 1 species
CUUGCUGUAAACUUGUGUCUGUCAAUCAUUUUGCGCGUUCACAGCUGGCAGUCCAUAUAUGGGAACCGGAAGAACAGCGUGUGACGGAUGAACUUGAAUCGGUUUUCGUGAGUUUGGAGCCUGUGGAAUGUUCGCGAAUUCUUACGAUUUAAACAGCUACAAAUUCAAAAGUAAUAAACAGACCAACAAAAAAAACCACACAAGACUAAAGUAAAGAUAAAGCGGCGGAAGUUCUAGAAAAGGUCUUAAGCAACGCAAGGCCACGAGACUCGGAUGAGGAAAUUCUCAGUGCAGCAACAGAUGUGAUGCCCCUGCAGUUCUGUUUGCUUCCACGGACCUCGGAGCAGCCAUAACUCGAUCCGCCUCCAUCCCAGAGGUGCCAUUCCGAGGAUAGAGGGAGUGUCU